AUUGAACGCUGGCGGCGUGCUUAACACAUGCAAGUCGAACGAAGUGGCGAACGGGUGAGUAACGCGUAAUAAACCUGCCCUUCAGAGGGGGACAACAGUUGGAAACGACUGCUAAUACCGCAUACUGAAGGAGGGGAUUGCGUCUGAUUAGCUAGUUGGAGGGGUAACGGCCCACCAAGGCGAUGAUCAGUAGCCGGUCUUAGCGGAUGAGUGGCCACAUUGGGACUGAGACACGGCCCAGACUCCUACGGUAGGCAGCAGUGGGGAAUCUUCCGCAAUGGACGAAGGUCUGACGAGGCAACGCCGCGUGAGUGAUGACGGCCUUCGGGUUGUAAAGCUCUGUUAAUCGGGACGCGGUACCGGAAUAGAAAGCCACGGCUAACUCCGUGCCACCAGCCGCGGUAAUAC
rnacentral:rRNA from 1 species